AAAUCUCAUAAGGUGACAAGCUAUAUUUUCCUCUGGGAGUGUACCUUACACCAAGUAACGCUAGUGGGAUACUCUCGGGCCAGGGCAUGUUAGUUUCUUGUGACAUCUUAAGCAUUCUGGCUUUCAAAGUGCCAUUCAUGCGUUCUACCUUACCGCUACUUUGUGGGUGGUAUGGUGUGUGGAAUGCAAGGGUCACCCCCAGUGCUGACCAGACUUCCCGUGUUAGCGAGGCAGUGAAGGAGGUCCCUUGGUCACUUUCAAUUACUUCUGGAACUCCAUAGCAGCAAACAAUUUCUGUCAAAAGAUACUUGGCUGUAGUCCUCGCGGUGAGAUUAGUCACUGGGAAGGCCUCUGGCCAUCCUGAAAACAUGUCCACUAUGACCAAUGCAUAUUCAUAACGUCCACUCUUUGGCAUCUGAAUGUGAUCAAUCUGGAUCCUCUGGAAGGGGUAUUGUGGUUUAGCUAGGUGAUUAGGUGCUGUCUUUAUGAUCUUUCCAGGAUUGCAUUUAGCACAUAUAGUACAAGAUUUACAGUAAUUCUGUGUUAAGGUAGUGAUGCCUGGUGCUUCAAAAUACUUGUCAAUUAGUGAGUUCAUCAGGAGUUUUGACAGGUGGGCUGGCCCAUGGGCCCAUUGGACCACCGCUGAGUACAUACUUCUGGGUAAACAGAACUUGAGAUUGAUGGUGUAAACAUCAUCACGGAGUACAGCUCCUUUAUUCUUCCAACUUUGUUUCUCCUGGGGAGUAGCAGCAGCUUGUUGUUCCUUCAGAAGCCUAAGAUCUGUAGGCAAUGUUUGCAUAGUGUAGAUGGGUAGUGUAUCUGUGGCCAAUCUUCUGUCCACUUCCCAUCCUUGCCGUGCUGCUUCCUUAGCUGCCUGAUCAGCUAAGUGGUUGCCACGUGCUUCCUCUGUGUCUAGUCUUCCGUGGGCUUUUACUUUCAGUACUGCCACCUCUGCUGGGAGUUCCAAUGCAUCCAUCAGUUCUGCAAUAGCUGCCCCAUGCUUUACUGGGGUACCGGUAGCCGUAAGAAAUCCUCUGGUCUUCCAAAUUAAGCCAAAAUCGUGUGCUACUCCCAGGGCAUAUCUUGAAUCCGUGUAAAUAUUGACACGUAGACCUUCAGACAAUUUGCAGGCCACAGUCAGGGCUGUUAGCUCGGCUUCUUGAGCAGACUUAGCUGGUUGUAGGGCAGCUGCUUGUAAUACUUGACAUCCUGUGGUGACUGCAUACCCAGUGUGAUAUUGUCCCUGUUCAUCAGCAAAUCUUGACCCAUCCACAAAUAGUGUUUGAUCCGGGUUGAGUAAUGCAGCUUCAUAGACAGUUGGUAGGUGUGUAGUUUCCAUUUUCAUUUGUUCAAAACAAUCAUGAGGAAUAUCUAGGUCACAGUCUGUGGUGAGUGGAUCUUCACAGGCUUCUGUGUGGUACCUUGGGUACCCUUCUGUACAGUAGUUAAUAGUCUUUUUGUUGAUCCCCGUAGAAGUCAGUUGUUCUUGGGUCAUUUGGCUCCAGGUUUUGGCCAUCGGGCCUAGGUCUUUCCAUGAGGUGUCGGGGGAUCUGGUGAGAGAUAUGUGUGGGAUAGCUGUUUCCCAAUGAUGAUAGAGAUGUGUUACAUUCUCUGGAAGAUGGACUAAGAUGAGCAUGGUACCUGUGGGGUCCCAGAAUAAGUCAGUCAGGGUAAUUUGAAUUUCUUUAAGCUGGAAUAAUUCUUCCUCAUAGUUCAUAUCAGAGCCUGGUACGUCCUUAAACCACAAGGUACAGUGAAGUAGGGCCUCUGAUUGUUCAUCAUGUGGAGGUGCAAGUGCAGGCAGCUGCAAAUCUGCUCGGACCUCUGGGUUGAUAUCCAGGCUAUACCAGUAAUGCACAACUCCCCCCUUGGGAAGUGGCAGAAGAGUGGCUGGGUUCAGGGAAAGACAUCUCUGGAGUUUCACAUUGUCAGGUAGAAGUAAGGAGGUUUGCAGACGGAGGUGACGUUGGGAGGAAAGGUGUUUAAGUUGAACUUGUUGCAGGAUUGCAGUAAUGUCAUGAGGGGCCAACACUGUGAGGUGAUGGCCAAGAACAAAAUCAUUUGUCUUGUCUAGGAGGGCGCUGGCGGCAAACACCGCUCUGAGGCAAGAGGGGCUACCCCUCGCAACAGGGUCAAGCAUGCAGGAAAAAUAGCCAAUAGGGCGUUGCCGUGACCCAUGUUUCUGGGUAAGGACUCCGGAGGCAUGUCCUGACUUUUCAGAGACAAACAAAUUGAAAGGAAGUUGGUAGUUGGGUAGGCCCAAAGCAGGUGCAGAAGCAAUAGCUCUUUUCGGAUUGUGGAAGCAGGUGAUUGUUUCUUCAGUGAGGUGAAAGGGCUCACUCCUGAGGGCAUCGUAGAGUGGCUGCAUGAGCUUUGAUGCUUUGGAUAUCCAGGACCUGCAAUAUGUGAUAAGACCCAAAAGGGCAUGAAGAGUCUGAUGUGUCGCAGGUAAAGGGAGUUGCAGAAUAGCUUGCACACGUUGAGAAGUUAGAUGUUUGGUGCCAUGGGAAAGGCAAUGUCCCAAGAUGACCACAGAGGGCCGGCACCAUUGUAGCUUCGAUUUUGAAGCUUUGCAACCGGCUGCAGCGAGGAAGCAUAGGAGAUCUUCUGAGUCACGCUCUGCAGUGGGCAAAUCAGGAGCACAGAGAAGGAGAUCAUCAACAUAUUGAAGCAGGACAACAUCCAAAUGAGAUUUCUGCCAGGGAUCCAGAACCAGGGACAUGGCAUGAGCAAACUGUGUGGGGGAAUUCUGAGCCCCCUGAGGCAUAACAGUCCAGGUAUAUUGUUGUCCUUCAUGAGUGAAGGCGAAGAGAAAGCGGCAGGAAGGGUCAAGGGGGACACUGAAAAAGGCAUUAGCUAGAUCCACUACAGUGAAUAUUGUGGAAGUUGGUGGGACUUGGGACAAGAGGGUGUGAGGGUUUGGAACAAUAGCAGUGUCUUUUAUGGUUACUUUAUUAACAGCACGGAGGUCCUGCACCAUGCGGUACUGGUCGGGUUGACCCUUAACAGUUCGCUUUUUAACAGGGAAAAGUGGUGUGUUACAUGGAGAUGUGCACUUGAUGAGGGCACCUUUGGCAAGGAGGCUUUCAACUUGUUUGGUAAUGGCUUCAGCUUGUGCUGGCUGCAGAGGAUACUGUGGUCUACGAGGAGGUAGUGCUCCAGGCAGGAGCUGGACCAAAACUGGGGGUACAUGUAAGCGCCCUAUAUCAUCCGGGCCGGUGGACCAAAGUUCUUGGGGGAUACGAUCCAGAGCACUGGGGGUGUGUGAGACCCGUGCAUUCCCUGUAUUGUCAGUUAGGUUCAACAAGAUGGGGAGUGAGCAGAGGACAGAGGUAUCUUUUUGUGAUAAGGGGGUUGUCAACUCAACUUGACCAUCUGCAGUAAAGGUAAUAGAAGCCUGGAGCCGAGAGAGAACAUCGGCACCUAGGAGGUUAAUGGGGCAAGUAGAGGAAACAACAAACCGGGAGAGGAUGUGUGAUCC